rnacentral:tRNA from 1 species
AAGGAUUUAAGUUAAAUAAACUUGUAGCCUUCAAAGCUACCAAUGGAGGUCCUCUUUAAGCCUUA